rnacentral:lncRNA from 1 species
CACCGCACUGCUUUCGCUUUUUAAACGGGCCUGGACACGCGCAUUAGCUUGCUGCUGUUGGUAGGUCUUCACUGGUACACAGACGGGGCACCGAAGAUCCUUGCAGUUUUUAUAGUGGCUAAUCAACGACUUUGUGGGACGGCAACGAGGAUACAAACACUGAGGCUCUACACAGCUGUUCAUGUGACUCAGCAGCUUCUGAACAGUAACGCAGUUUCGGCCCGGACACUUCACUCCCGGCCGUUUGCAGGUCCGUGCAUGAAGUAGAAACAAGAGCCAUCUCUGUUGGUUUUGGAACUUGAUAUCGCGAUUUCCAUAUCUACAUGCCGUUCCAGCAGCAUUUUGCAGACUGUGGGAUUCGGAUGUGGUGGAAGCAUGAUCUUGACCAGUUACAGACCCUUCGAUCAUAUUACUAGGUUGAGCUUCGUCCAUUCUGGUAACUCUUUGACGAAAAUCCUCCUGAACGUUCUGUUCACUUGACAUACCAUUGGACUGGGAAGGCCACUGAUCCUGUGGAUUGGAUUCUGAUUUUGCUCCAACAGCAAGGUUGUUAAAGUUGUUGAUAGUAUCCGAUCCCAUAUUCUGCGGGUGCAUCAUCUGCUGAAUCUGUUGGCUGUUUUGAGGAAGUGGCGUGCAUGUAUCAUUCUGACUUGUAACUGAGACAUGUUGAGCGUCUGCUCCCGAGUUCUGAUACUGAUUCUGGAACUGAGAAAGCUGGAGUCGUUCUGAUGCUUGGGAGUGCAAAGCUUCACUAUGGUUCUGCACUCCAGGUUCAUGUUUAACGUUCGUAACCAUGUCAGAAGCCACCUGAGUUUUCCCGGGACCGUCUUUGCUUAUUAAUUUAUGUUGCUGCAGGGCCUGCUGCUUCAAUGUCUGUUGCUGGAUAAAUUUCUGCUGCUGCUGUUGUUGGAUCUGAUUCGGCUGUUGCGGAAAUUGUUGUUGUUGAUGUGACUGCAGAGAAGGGUGAGCUCUGGACACAGACUGGAAACUUGCUGCAUUGAUAUUCUGAGCACUUGUCAUCUUCCCAACCGAUGUUACACCUCCAUGUAAAUUUUUAGAUCCAAGGUUGUCAGGAUUUGUUGUUCUAUAACCUUCCCCUGGAAUAUGAAGGAACGAACAUACUUUAAAUAUUCUGACAGGUUCGUACUAGUGCCAAACCACAAGAAAGAACCAUACAUAUAAAAUGAGAUGAUUAGGACAGCCGAAAAAGAGAGAGACUGAAGAGUUACCUGUGUCUACACUUUUUUUGCUCACUCCAACACCACCAUUUACAGAGUUACUAGCCACACCAGCCGGCUUUGGUUGCAUGUUGUCCGGUCUAUGGCCAGCAGUCACUUGGUUAGACACCAUUUGACUAUUCUGACCACCAGUAUCCUGCCUUUGCUUCUGCUGCUGAGACUGAGGUACCACCGUGGGCUCAGCAGAAAAUCCACCACUGUUGUUACUAGCACCACUGUUAACGAACCCAGGUGUAGGAAUCAUCUGGGGAGCACUUCUUUGAGAACCCAUGUUCCCUCUUGUACCAAGAGAAAAGUUUCUCGGUGAAUUCUGGUAUCCAUUAGACAUAUUACCUGGAAUGAAAUUGCUAAGGUGUCAGAGACUCGUAAGAUUAAAAAAAAUCAGGAAACGUAUCUACGAUCAAACCUCCAUGCAUCCCGCCAGAAGCUAGAAGGUUUCCAGUGUUAACAGCUUUACUUGUGCUGUUGUUGUUUCCAGCUAUAGUAGUAUCAGCAGAAGGUGUAACCAUCGAACUAGGAUUAUCCCCAGUAUGUGGUAAUCUUGGAGUAGGUAUCAUCGUAGUACCCCCACCAGCAUGUGAUAAUCCUGGAGUAGGUAUCAUCAUUCCAACCGAAGGAGAAUUAGCAUGUCGCUGAUUGUAGUUAUUCAAAUGUCUUCCUUUUAUUAGGCUCGUAAUCCUAGACUCAAGGGUUGACCGGUUCACGUAAUCCUCCUGUUAGUAUAAGUUGAAAAGAAAAAAUCUUAAGGAAUGACAUGAGACAACAAGCUGGAUCUAGAGGCAGAUAUAUUUCGAGAUACCUUAGAGACGGCCAUCUUAAAUAGCCCCUCCUCUAAGCGUCUAGCAACAUCCAUAUACUUUGCCUUUGAUGCAGCAUCGGCCUGUGAUGGUUGCCGCUGCUGUAACAUGUUAAACCUAGGAGAUCAAGGAGACUCAGUUAAAAACAGUCCCCCAUGAAGUAAUUAUCAUAAAAUCCCAAGGAGCAUAAACACUAAAGUAUCAGGUCUUAAUCAACAAAGAAGAUAUACAUUAGUAAUGCAGCCAAGAAAGUAAUCAAUCCAUUAUAAGCAAAUAUAAGAUGAAGGCUUACACAAGGGUUUGCAUGUACUGUCUGAGUUUCAAAAUAUCAUGGUCCAUGGGACCAACAAUGUUACGUGAAGGCCCAGCACCAGCUGAUGAAGCUCCAACUACAUUCUGCAUUUGAGAGUUCCCAUUACUCUGCGGAGGCAUUGUCCCUUGGUUCGGAACCUGACCCCCAGACAUCUGUCCCGACAAGUGAGCCUGAACAUUCAUGUUACUUCUUAAACUUUCGUCUCCUUGUCCUAGCUCUUCUUGCAACCAGCACUAACAGACACUGCAUAACUCUUCCACCCCAGAGAGAAAGCUCAUCUCCUAAUCUUAAUUAUUCUUCAAAUAGUCUCACUCAGUGUAGCAGCUCCUGCAAAACAAUCAUAAGACUAUGAUGAUGAUCAAAAGAAAAAACAAAACCCAAUUGCAAUAACCAACAAAGAAAACAAAAUGUAUCAUUCAAAUAAUAUGAAUUAAACCCCUAAAUAAAAUAAAAUAAAAAAACCUAGAAACUCAAUCCAACCUUCAAAUUGAUGCACAAAGAAGCAAACUUGGUACGUUACUAAGUGAUUACGAUGAUCGAAACGCAGUAAGAAGAGAGCAAUAAAGUCGGUGAUGUCGCACGUGUGAAACGGAACCUCACACAAGCCAAGGAAGACGAGAAACAACACAAUACAAUUUCGAAUCAAACGAGCGAAGAGAUUCCGAAACCUAGACGAUGAAAAUAACGAUUUCGAAAAUCGGAGACUUUCUUCGAAUUGGGGAUGGCGCUCGCUCGAUUUUGGGGAUUUUUGUGUUUUUUUUAGGGAUUUUUCGUUUUGAUUUUUGUUUAUAAGUUAAAAAAAAAAAAGACACAUUAAAUAACUAUUACCUUUAUGUUUCUUUUCCAUGUCUGAAUACAUAAAGGAAAAUUUUAAUUGGGGGAAACCGAGGUCGAGAGAGAGAAUCCAACGGACGAGGGAGAAGUGUCGGGUGAUUGUUUACGUUCCUGACCGUCCGAUCCAUAUACAACAAUGUCCUAAUAAUUUACAUUCUUUACCCUUGUAGUUCUGUUUCUUUUCUUUUUGGUACUGAGAGUAACAAAACAAUAAUCAUAAUAGCCCUGGCAUCAAUUUCUAUCGAAUGCUAGACAUUAAGGACGAAUUAGAUAUUUAUAAAUUUUCGGUUUAGAUUUUGAUCAAUUUAUGUCAGAUAUGAAUCAGUUCGGGUCUACGGUUAAAAUACAUGUAAAAUACCUAUAAUUUUUAAGUAUAUUUUGUGUUUAGGUAUUCAGAUAUUUAAGAUCCGAAGAGCCGAAAAAUACUCUUUCAAAGAUCAAACCAGAAACAAUUUAUAACGCGUUUACCAUUGGUACGUACGAUCUAACAGCAAUGCGGUAGCAAAUGUAAAUACUGAAUAAAAAUAGAAAAAGACGAAAACGAAAAAAGACGCUCCCCCAAAUACGCGACUCCGAAGGCGAACCCUAACAAAACUUCAGCUUGCUCAGCCGACGGCGACCUCCGGUGCUCCGGCUCCGGUGUUGACUCCGUCGUCGGCUGUCUCCCUUGUCCCUACGCUUUUCUCUCUUCUCCAUUGUUUCCCCUCCUUUGUUCCAUCUCUUGUUCGUCGAUAUGCCUUCCGUUGUGGGCUCAUCUCCGGCGUCGCUGCCCGGAAGGUUGAGUUCUGGAGCGGUGGUGAGGCGUGUCUAGAGUUGGAGCGUGGGUGGUCUCUCCGCGGUUGUUCUCUGAGAUCUCGUUCAGAUCUGGCCAGAUCUGCCUUGUUGGUGGUCCGUCGGGCUCAGUGGUGGUGCUCUGGUCUCGUUUGGUUCUUCCAGCGGUGGCUUGCGCGGUUGAUGAAGUGAACCUGCGUUCUCGGUAGGGAGGUUAAUGAUUCUCGGAUCUCUUUGCAGACCCUUCUUCUUCUCUCAUCACCAGUGAGAGACUGUUGUGGUAGGCUGAGAUUUUGGGUCCUGGUCGUAUGCCUCGGUGGUGGUGGUGAGCUACUGCCGGCGGUUUCUCUUUGUAGGUGGUUGCGGUUGGUUCUUGUGGCUAGAAGGCUUGACCGUCAAACCUAUGUCGAGGUCUGAGCUCUCCCUGCGUGUCUGAGUUGGAUGUGGCGGUUCUAACGAAGCGAGUAGGUUGGAGCUUUCUUGUAUGGUGAUUUGCAGUCUUCGGUUCUCGAAGGUUGUCCCUUGUGCGAGUGUGCUGGUCCAUGGUGUUGUCGACCUGGUCUACUCUCUCGGUGGCGGCUUGGGUUGCUUCACUAACAGUUAUAGGGCGAGAUUCUUCGGAUUCAAACUCUUGUGGUGUUAGCUUCUAUCAUUGUGCAGGUCCCGGUGGUUGUGGCGAGCUUAUCAUCCACUUGCCUCUCCGAAUAAGAGCGGCUUUCUAGCUUGUUGCUAUGGUGUUUGUGGUUUGGUGGGUCUCUUGAGCUCAAUAGGAGUUUGGGUGCUUGUGAGGUUGGAUAAGGAGUAGUAGAGGAGGCAGGUCUGGUGGAUGAGGUCAACGACAGCCGAUGCUUCGACAAGUGUUUGGUUGGUCGGCCGGAGCAACCUCUAUUGUCGUCUGCUGCAACUUUUUGCCUCAUGAUGCGUCGGUGCUUGAUGCCCAUCGUCGGACUUCCGUGGUAGGUGAAUUUUUUGGAGGCGAGCUUGGGGAGGCCAAUAUUUACCGGCUCGUGACUCAUGGUGUUCAAUAUCGCCUCAACACUGUCUUCCGCAACGCGUGUCGCACACUCCAAGUAGCUUUGUUGAGUCCUUCCACCUUUCGCGCUGGCUCUUGGUUUUGGGUAUAGUAGUCGUGUUUUACACUCUGUUCUUCGUUGUUGUGUUGUAGGUUGUUGUUUUCCGCUACUUGUAACUCUUUGUAAUUUCUGUAAAAAACUCGAAAAUGGUAAUACAAUCUUAACAUGUUUACCAAAAAAAAAAAAAUGUAAAUACUGAAGCAUGGAGUUACACUUAUAUGAUUCCAUCAUUACUUGUAACACAAGUAAUUGAAAAACAUUCGGAUCAUGUUUCAGCGAUAACCCUCAUGGACAUCAGAAUCUCUGCCACCUCUAAAUCCAACUGAUCUCUGUUCUCAGGAACCUUCUCUAUCUCCUGCAUACAACAACAAACAACAACAAAUAGCCGUCUCUUAGUUUUAAGAUUAGGAGCAAUUAUUAUGUCUAGUAUAGGUCUAUUAUGAUCACGUACCAUGGUGGUCUCAGAAACUUCAGGAGUGGUUGUUAUUAUAGUCCCAGGUGCAGAAGAGUUGGCAUUUUGCUGAAUCUGAUUGUCAUCAUUCAAUUUUAUCCUUUUUAUUAACCUUGACAUGCGAGAUUCGAGGGCUGAUGGUUUAACGUAAUCCUCCUGUAAAUUUUAAGUAAUAAAAGAGUGUCACAAACGAAUGAAAGAUCUUCUAAAGUGAGAGCAUGUAGCUAAUAAUUAAGCUUCAGACAAUCUUGUUUAGUUGGAAAUUCUCAGUAUAUCAAAGUUGUGUAACUACCUUUAUGUUAGACAUUUAAUAAAGAGUAUCCUCGUCUAAGUUUCUAGUAACAUACAGAUACUUACCUUUGAUGCAUCGUCAGCUGCACACGGAUUCUGUUUCUGUACCUCGCUGAGGCUGGAAAUAUCAGUUAGAAGAGAAUCCCUCGUUAAUGAAUUCUCAAGGAUAUACCAAGGGAAAGAUAAUUAGUCAACGAUAAAAAAAAACACCAACGUGACAUAAUUGGAAUCGAGGAAAAUAAAAACAGAGCAGACAUGCAGGUUACAUAUCCACAAAAAGUAAUAUGUUUGAUCGUUCCUAGCUCAGAAUGAGAUAAUUAACUGACAGUGAAAUCAGUGCAAGAAGAACCAGUUUAGCUAAAAAAGGUUGAAGGCUUACACAAGCUUUCGCAUGUACUCUUGAAGAUCAAGGAGGAUCAGUUAAAAAUAGCCCACCAUGAAGUAACUAUCAAGAAAAUCUAAGGGAAUAGAACACUAAAUUUAUCAUUACUUAAGCAUAAAAGAAAAUAUACACUAAUGCAGCCAAGACAGUAAUCAGUUGGAUCAUGUCCCCACUCCCCAGCCCACAUUGAGACCAUAUUAACCAGACAUGCAUGAUAUGGUAGACAGACAAAAAUGGUGUAAACUAAAAGUUGAAGGCUGGUUCAUUCAGGGGUAGUCCUGGACAUAACCAACUGAAAAGUGAAACAUUGGUCUUUAGUCCCAAAAAUUUUAAAAAUAAUUGAUAUAGAAAGAAGUUCUCAAAUUUGUAAAAAUGUUUUUUUAAUAACAACUCUUACUAAAUUGUUUAUAGCUAGCAAAAUCUUAGGAUCGCUACUAGGUUCACGUAGAUGUAACAUGUUAAAAGUGGAACAUGUGGAAGAUCAAUGGGGUCAAUUAGAAAUCCCCAUUAAGUUAUAACCAAAAAAAAAUCCUCGAACACUAAAAGAAUUUAUAACAGGCAGGUUUGAUCAUUAAUCUCAGCCCAGCAGACAACAUGAACUCAAAGCAAUGCAAUAUGGUGGGAAGAAGCAAGGCUUACACAAGCGUUCUCAUGUCCUCUCGGAGUUUCAAAUUACCGGAAGUAUCAGCACAACGAGGAGCACCAGAACCAGCUCCAGCAGAGGCCCGUACUGAGUCGUUUGAUACUCGAGCUUUGUCCACUUUACUGCUUUUGAUUUUCAAACCGGCCAGGGCACGCUCAUUAGCUUGUUGCUUACGGUAUGUCCUCACUGGUACACAGACGGGGCACCAGAGAUCCUUGCAUUUUACAUAGUGGCUAAUCAACGACUUUGUGGGACGACAACGAGGAUACAAGCAUUGAGGCUCUACACAACUGUUCAUGUGACUCAGUAGCUUCUGAACCGUAACGCAAUUUCGUCCCGGGCACUUCACUCCUGGCCGUUUGCAGGUCCGUGCAUGAAGUAGAAACAAGACCCAUCUCUGCUGUUUAUGAAACUUGUUGUGAACCAUCUUUGUUGGUUUCAGAGCUCAAUAAAAACCAACCUCCCGAGAUCACACGGACACCAAAAGGUUACUAGUGAUUGCGAUUACUGAUUCUCCACAACGCACAAUGAAGUCCGGUGAUGAGACCUAAAAAUGGAUUUAUUUAUGUGAAUUCUUCGAAUCUAGGGUUCCUAUAUUUCCUGUGAAACUUAUAUCUUAUUCUCUUAUUUCAUUUUAAUUGUUGUUUUAGAUUUACAUUAAGAAAACAUUUAAUUUUGUAUAUUUUUAAAAUAAAAAUAUAUUUACUUAUAUACCUAAACAUAUUUCAACCAAUAGAAAAAUAAAUAAACUGAAGAAUAUUAUUAAUAAAUUUUGCAUUGAAAUCCUAAAAUAAUUUAUUUUGAAAUGAAAUUUUACUGUAAACUGAAACGGAAAGAGUAUUUGGUAAGUGAAAGAUUUAUUAUAAAUUUUUUAUUUUCAGUUUUUUUACUUGCUCUGAUUUUUUUCUUUGUGUGGGAUCUAGACUCGAGUAGCAGCUCCGUUGAAUCAUAACUUCAUAUUCCGUGGAAGCCCCCUUACUAAUUUGAUGAAAAGAUAAUUAAUGAUUCUACACUUGAUAUGAGUUUCGAGUAACGAGCUAAUAUUAUCUCCAAUGUAAAACUCCAUAAUAAAAUUAAGUUUACACAAACCCUACUAUAUUGUUAGAAUGAAAAAUUAAAUAAUGUAAAAAUAAAACGAUUACUCUAUUUAUAGAAUAAAUCUAUUUUCUACUUCAUAGGAAUGGAGCAUUUUUUUUCCAAACUUAUCGAGUUCGGAUCUUUCGAGUCCUAGACAUUGAGGACCAACUAGAUAUUUAGAAGUUUUUGGUUCGGAUAUGAGUUAUUUCCUUAUAAAACGGUUCUGAUCUACCGUUGUGACAAAAAAAAAAGAUCUACAGUUAAAAUAUUUUUAAGUAUAUUUUGUGUUCAGGUCGGUUCAGAUAUUUAAGACCGGGAAAAGACCCGAAGUAUCCGGAGAGCCAAAAAAUACUCGAAACCCCAAAAAAAUAUUCAAAGAUCAAACCGGAAACAAAUUAUAACCCGUGUCACCAUUGGUACGUGCGAUCUUACAAGCAAUGCGGUAGCAAAUGUAAAUACUGAAGCAUGGAGUUACACUUAUAUGAUUUCAUCAUUACUUGUAACCAAGGUUCUAAAAAUCGCUCUAGGUCGCGCCUAGGUCCCCGCAUAGGCGGCAACUCAGUCCUAUCCGAAACGAUUUUCUUAAAAUCCGAUUUAUAUGAUUUAAAUUGGUUUAAACUGUUUUAAAUCGGUUAAAAUUGGUUAAAAUCGAUAUAAACUGUCUAUAUAUGUUAAAUUAAGCAAUAAUAUUAUUACAAAUCUAUAAAUUUGUCUACUUUCUUAUGUUUGUAUAUCUAAUUUUGAUAAUUCAUCAGAAUAAUUUUAUAAUUAAAUUUUAAAAUUAAAAUAUGUCAUAUAAAUGUAUAAAAUAUAUAAAAUAAAUCAAUAAUUUGUUAACGCCUAGGCCUCGCCUAUACCCCAAAUAAUCCGCCUAAUCGUUAGUCCUCUAUAAAGCGCUUAGUUACCGCCUAACGAUUUUUAGAACAUUGCUUGUAACAUAAGUAAUUAAAAAACAUUCGGAUCAUGUUUCAGCGAUAAACCCUCAGGGACACCAGAAUUUCUGCCACCUCUAUCUCCAACUGAUCUAUGUUCUCAGGAACCUUCUCUAUCUCCUGCAUAGAACAACAAAUAAUCGUCUCUUAGUUUAAAGAUUAUGAGCGAUUAUUAUAUAUAGGUCUAUUAUGAUCACGUACCAUCGUGGUCUCAGCAUAAACUUCAGGAGCGGUUGUUAUCAUUGUCCCAGGUGCAGAAGAGUUGGCAUUUUGCUGAAUCUGAUUGUAAUCAUUCAAUUUUAUCCUUUUUCUUAAGCUUGACCAACGAGAAACGAGGGUUGAUGGGUUAGUGUAAUCCUCCUGUAAAUUUGAAGUUAUAAAAUUAAGUGUCACAAACGAGAGAAAGACUUUUAAAGUGAGAGCAUGCAGCUAAUAAAGCUUCAGACAGUCUUGUUUAGUUGGAAUGCCUUAGUAAAUCAAAGUUGUGUAAAUACCUUUGUGUUAGAUACUUACCUUUGAUGCAUCAUCAGCUGCACGUGGAUUCUGUUUCUCUACCUCGCUGAGGCUGGAAAGAUCAGUAAGAAGAGAAUCCCUCGUUAAUGAAUUCUCAAGGAUAUACCAAGGGAAAGACAAUUAGUCAACGAUAAAAAAACACCAACGUGACAUAAUUGGAAUCGAGGAAAAUAAAAACAGAGCAGACAUGCAGGUUACGUAUCCAAAAAAGUCAAAAAUAAGUUCGACCAUUCCUAGCUCAGAUUGAGAUAAUUAACUGACAGUGAAAUCGGUGCAAGAAGAACCAGUGUAGCUAAAAUGUUGAAGGCUUUACAAAAGGUUUCGCAUGUACUCUUGAAGAUCAAGGAGACUCAGUUAAAAACAGCCCACCACGAAGUAACUAUCAAGAAAAUCUAAAGGGAAUAGAAUACUAAAUUAGCAGUAAUUAAGCAUAAAAGAAAAUAUCAGUAAUGCAGCCAAGACAGUAAUCAGUUGGAUCAUGUCCCUAGCCCACAUUGAGACCAUACUAACGAGACAUACAUGAUAUGGUAGACAGACACAAAUGGUGUAAACUAAAAGUUGAAGGCUGGUUCAUUCAGCGGUUGUCCUGAGCAUAACCAACUGAAACAUUGGUCUUUAGUCCCAAAAUUUUUUAAAAUAAUUUACAUAGAAAGUAGUUCUCAAAUUUGUAAAAAUAUUUUUUAAUACUACUAGGUUCAUGUAGAUGUAACAUGUUAAAAGUGGAACACUUGGAAGAUCAAUGGGGUCAAUUAGAAAUAGUCCCCCAUGAACACUACAAGAAAACAGCGGUAUUCUGACGGACGUUCCGACGGAAAAUGAAUUCCUCGGAAUAUACCGAGGCAUUUCCGAGGCAAUUCCGAGGAAACACAAAAUUUUUCUUCCUCGGUAUUCCGUCGGAAUAUUCCGACGGAAUUCCGAGGAAAAUUCAUCUCGUCGGAAUAUUCCGACGGAAUACCGAGGAAACUAGUAUACCUCGGAAAAAACCGAUGAAUUCCGAGGAAAUAUUAUAGACGUUAGAGAGCCGUUGGAGAGCCGUUGGGGGGAUUUUAAAAAUUCCGAGGAAAUUCCGACGAACUAGCCGUUUGCAUCGGAAUUCCGUCGGAAUUUCCUCGGACCGUCGGCAGGAUUUCAACUAUAAAUACAAGCACCCCUCUUCCUCUUCAUUCACUCCAUAUCUUCAUCCUCCCUCUCACUUUCUUUACACACGAAUUUGAUUCAUAAAAAACAUGUAUUCUUCAAAUUAUUUUCGUUCUUGGAUCGAUCGACCUCAUUUGGAUCCGAACACGAGAUUGCUUACGGAAGAAUACCAACAAGGUAUAACCGAAUUCAUGGGGUUAGUUCACCGACAACCGGAAGCAAAAACAGGUAUGUUAAGAUGUCCUUGCUCUAAUUGUAAAAAUAAAAAAGUUAUUAAAGAAUGGGAUGUUUGGACUCAUCUAUAUUUGAGUGGGUUUACACGAAGUUACAAAAUUUGGUAUCAUCAUGGAGAAACUGAUUAUGAACUUGGUAGUACUAGCGAACCUCAGCCAGCGGUUAGAUUAGAAGAUCCAAUUAGAACGGAUGUAGAUUACGGUGUAGGUACUGAGCAGAUGGUAAAUGAUCAUUUUAGAGGGGAAGAUUUACCCAAUGCCGAAGCUAGGAGAUUUUAUGAUAUGUUGGAUGCUGGAAAGCAACCAUUGUACGAAGGUUGCAGAGAUGGUCAUUCAGCUUUAUCAUCUGCUACAAGAUUGAUGGGCAUUAAGACGGAUUAUAAUUUGGCUGAAGACUGUGUGGAUGCGAUUGCUGAUUAUGUAAAAGGUAUUCUACCCGAAGAUAAUGUAGCUCCUGGCUCAUACUACGAGGUUCAGAAACUCGUAGCUGGUCUUGGUUUAUCGUAUCAGGUAAUAGAUGUAUGCAGAGACAACUGCAUGAUUUAUUGGAGGGCGGAUGAACAGCGGGUUUCAUGCAAAUUUUGUGGGAAGCCUCGUUAUAAAGAUACGAGUGGAAGAGUUCCAGUACCAUAUAAAAGGAUGUGGUAUUUGCCUUUGACGGAAAGGUUGCAGAGGCUGUAUCUGUCUGAACGCACAGCGAAACCAAUGAGAUGGCAUGCGGAGCACUCAACAGAUGGUGAGAUCAGACAUCCUUCAGAUGCAAAAGCGUGGAAGCAUUUCCAAUCAAAGUAUCCCGACUUUGCGUAUGAGAGAAGAAAUGUCUACCUUGGAUUAUGUACUGAUGGUUUCAGCCCGUUUGGCAAGAGUGGAAGACAGUAUUCUCUAUGGCCAGUCAUUCUUACACCAUACAACCUACCCCCAAACUUGUGCUUGCGACGAGAGUUUUUGUUUCUCUCGAUUCUCGUUCCCGGACCAGAGCAUCCUAAGAGAUCACUUGAUGUGUUUCUUCAGCCACUAAUAUAUGAGUUGCAACAACUAUGGACUCAAGGUGCUGAAACAUACGAUGUUUCGUAUAAAGAAAACUUUCAAAUGCGGGCAGUACUAAUGUGGACAAUAAGUGAUUUUCCAGCAUAUGGUAUGUUAUCUGGAUGGACAACGCAUGGAAGGCUAUCAUGUCCAUAUUGUCAAGAUAACACUGAUGCUUUCCAACUAAAACACGGAAGGAAAACGUGUUGGUUUGACUGUCACAGGAGAUUUCUACCACCAGAUCAUCCAUAUCGUAGAAGUAGGAAUUUGUUUACGAAGAACAAGAGGGUGUUUGACAGUCCACCUCCGGAAAUUCGUGGGAAAGAUUUGAAGACACAACUUAGAGAUUUUGGUGCAGAAAGGACGCCAGACGUCGGUGGACAUGAGCAUUUUCCGGUAGAUGGUGUUGGAAACCUACAUAACUGGCACAAAAAAAGUAUUUUUUGGGAUCUGCCAUACUGGGAGGAUCAUCUACUAAGGCAUAAUUUAGAUGUCAUGCAUAUCGAGAAGAACUUUUUUGACAAUCUCAUGAACACGAUCCUUAAUGUUCAAGGUAAAACAAAGGAUAAUUUGAAGUCAAGACUCGAUUUAGUCGAUAUAUGUGCUCGUUCAGAACUUCAUGUUGAUGAGAGUGGUAGGGCUCCUUUUCCCAUAUACCGACUUGAUGCAGCGGGAAAGGAUGCGUUCUUUGAUUGGAUUUCAAACGAUGUGGAAUUUCCAGACGGUUACGCAUCUAAUUUGCGUAACUGUAUCGACAGAAAGGAAGGAAAGUUUACUGGCUUGAAAAGCCAUGAUUGCCAUGUAAUGAUGCAGCGUCUCCUUCCGUUUGCCUUCAAGGAACUAUUACCACGAAAUGUUCAUAAAGCAAUUGCAGGGAUAAGUGGUUUCUUCCGCGAUUUAUGCACAAGAUCAGUGACUCUUGAAGGUAUUGAAAAUUUGAAGACUAACAUAGCUGUGAUUCAGUGCAACCUUGAGAAGAUAUUUCCUCCCUCAUUUUUUGAUGUUAUGGAGCAUCUUGUUAUUCACCUGGUAAGAGAAUUGGAACUUGGUGGUCCUGUGCAGUAUAGAUGGAUGUAUCUGUAUGAGCGGUAUAUGUUCCAUUUGAAGAAGAUGGUGAAAAAUUUAAGUAGGGUGGAAGGGUCUAUAGUCGCACAGAUGAUCAAUGAAGAAACUUCAAACUUUGCCGAGUACUACUUUCCAACAGAAGUUCAGACCAAAAACAGAAGACCUGCUCGGCAUGAUGAUAGAGGCGAACGGGCAACAUAUCAUUGGAAGGUUCCAGACAUUUUCACAGACGUUGGACGACUUAGCGGAAAACCAAAGGACCGUCGACUUACUGAUCAGGAGCGCAGUCAUUUGCAAACAUAUUUACUCACCAACUGUGAAGAUGUUCUUCAAUAUGAAAGGAUUUUCAUGGCAGAAAAGCGGUUAGAAUAUAGAUACGCCACAGAGGACGAACUAGAAGAAAUGAAGCAGAGAGAAUUUGGUGGAUGGAUGUUUACUUAUGUGAGUGAUGGUUUGGCCAGAGGUGAAACAUUUGACGAUUGGAUACGCGAGAUGGUCGUUGGACCAAACUUUGUUGUGAAGUCAUAUCCGAGAUUUUGUACUCGAGGAUAUGCAUUCACAACUCAGAAGAGGAGACGUUCGAGUACGACUUACGAUGCUGGUGUUUGUUCUGCAUCAGGAGAUGAUGUAUACUACGGACACAUAAAUGAGAUUUUGGAAAUCAAGUAUUUGGGCAUGGUUGGAUUGCGCUGUACUGUUUUCUAUUGUGACUGGCACGACAACACUCCAGAUCGAGGUGUGAGAACAGAUGCAUUUGGUGUUACAUCAGUAAAUUCAAGACGGAAGCUGCAAUAUUAUGAUCCUUUCAUUCUUGCUUCUCAGGCCGAUCAGGUUUGUUAUAUCAAGUACCCCCGGGUAAGGAACAGAGAUGAUCCAUGGGUUACUGUUACAAGACUCAACCCGAGAGGCCGAGUUCAGGGAAGUUCUGAGCUGGAAGACCCACUACAACCAAGCACAUCCGGCAACUUAAGUGCAUCCGGGAAGUUCUGAUUCAUGGGUUACUGUUACUGUUUACUUAUUAAUAAUUUAUUUUUUUUAUUAGGUUCAACCGAUCCGGGAACGGGAUCAGCGCAUGGAUCAACCGUAUGAUGUACUCGGCCCUCGACAGCGGACAUCCGACUUUCACUCACUUCCCUGUCGAGAAGCAGCAUCUGUGGUUUCGUCAGUUUGCGGUAAGUAUUCUAAUUUUUAAAUUAUAUUUUUUAUAUUAUUAAAACUAUUUUUUGUAAUUAUUAAACUAUUUUCUAUAUUUAUUAGAUAUUUUAAAUAUUAUUAAAACUUAUUUUUUGUAAUUAUUAAACUAUUUUCUAUAUUUAUUAGACAUUUUAAAUAUUAUUAAAACUUAUUUUUUGAAAUUAUUAAACUAUUAUAUUUUUGUGCUUAAAAACUAUUUUUAAACUAUUUCAGCAAGAAUUCAACUGGAAUUCCGAUGAUACGCUCUCUAUCUAUCACCAUUUUGUCCAUAAAGUUAUGGACAACUAUGGGAAGCAGAUGUACGAGUGGAAGAAGAAGUGGGAAGUAAACAAGGUAGUUUUUAAUUUAUUAAACUAUUUUUAAAAUUAUUAAAUGUUUUUUUUUAAAUUAAAAGGUCCCAAAGUCGAUGAACGACACGGUCUGGAAGGAGUUGUGUGCGCAUUGGGAUAAAGAAGAGACGAAAGAAACUUCUUCCACCAACUCCAACAACCGCAGGAGCGACCGUAAAGGAAAGGGCAUCUACAAGCAUAACUUGGGUGCUCAAUCUAUUGCCACUCUGGCGGAUCGCAUGGUAAGCUCAACCGCUUUUUCUUCAAUUAUUUAAGUUUCAGAAUUUUAUUUUUUUGCAUUUUCAAAUUUCUAAUGUUUGUCUAAUUUAUUUUUUUUCAAGGCGGAAGAAAAUGAAGGCCACCCAGUUGAUGAUCUCGCCCUUAUGAAAAGGGCGUAUACCAACAAGAAGACCGGCCAGAUUGAUGAUGGUCUUGUGAGGGACGUGGUCGACCUGGUCCAAACUCAGGUGUAUGACGAAGUGUCUCAGCUUCAAACCGAUGAUGACGAUUCGACGGCCUCGACCAACUUGUCUCGGGUUCGAAUCAACGAAAUCGUUGAAUCGGUAAGUUUUUUUUUUUAAAGUUCAAUUUAAUUAUUUCUUGAUUUUUAUUUUAUCAUCAAUUUAAAUUAUCUAAACUUGGUUAUUUAUAUUUCAGUCGGUUCCAAAGAAAAAGGGACGUUUGGUCGGUUUGGGUCGUCGCUCCCGGUCGGCUGCUCCUUCUUCUGCACCACAUGCGUAUGUUGAUCCAGAAGUUCUUACGGCUCAGCUGAAGGAUAAGGAUGAUCGGAUAUCUGCGUUGGAGACCCAGAUGGCAGCUCAACAGGCGGGCUAUGAGACCCAGAAGAGGCUGAACGAGCAGAUGAUGGAGAUGAUGAAGAGGAUGUACCCGAACGAGACGUUCCCGAACAUUCAAGACCCGUAGUUUUUUUUUUUUCCAAAAACUCUGAAUGUUUUAUUUAAAUUUGAAUAUUAUCUACUAUGUUUUAUUUUAUGUUUUAUUCAAUUUUAAUUUUAAAUUUUAAAAAUUUUAAUUUUUAAAAAUAAAAUUAAUUUUUAAAAAAAUAAAUUUUAAAAAAAAAAAAAAUUUCAAAAUUCCGAGGGAAUGGAAUUCCUCGGAAAAUUCCGAGGAACUUUCUCCCCUCGGCAAUUUCCGACGAACUUUAAGUUCCUCGGAAUUUUCCGAGGGAAAAAGUUCCUCGGAAUUUUCCGAGGAACUCCAUUCCCUCGGAAUUUUCCGAGGGAAGAAAGUUCCUCGGAAAAGUCCGAGGAACAUUUGUUCCUCGAUAUUUUCCGAUAAACAUUUCGAGGAUUAUUUCGUCGAAACUUCCGAGGAUUGGACCAUCGGAAUUCCCUCGGUGUUUUCCGAGGAAUCUUCCGACGAACUUCGUGUCCUCGGAGUUUCCUCGGAAUUUUGUUUCCUCGGAAUUCCGUCGGAAUUUUCCGACAGAAUUCCGAGGAAGUAUGAAAUUUCGAGGAGAUAUUUCCGAGGACUUGUUUCGUCGGUAUGUCCUCGGAAUAGCGUUAUUCCGACGACAUACCGACGAUUUUUUCCCUCAGUAUCCCGAUGUUUUCUUGUAGUGGAAGUUAUAACCAAAAAAAAUCUCGAAAAAUAAAAGAAUUUAUAACAGGCAGGUUUGAUCAUUAAUCUCAGCCCAGCAGACAACAUGAACUCAAAGCAAUGCAAUAUGGUGGGAAGAAGCAAGGCUUACACAAGCGUUCUCAUGUCCUCUCGAAGUUUCAAGUUAUCGGAAGUAUCAGCACAAUGAGGAGCACCAGAACCAGCUCCAGCAGAGGCCCGUACUGACUCGUUUGAUACUCGAGCUUUGUCCACUUUACUGCUUUUGAUUUUCAAACCGGCCAGGGCACGCUCAUUAGCUUGUUGCUUACGGUAUGUCCUCACUGGUACACAGACGGGGCACCGAAGAUCCUUGCAGUCUGUAUAGUGGCUAAUCAACGACUUUGUGCGAUGACAACGAGGAUACAAACACUGAGGCUCUGCACAACUGUUCAUGUGACUCAGUAGCUUCUGAACAGUAACGCAAUUUUUCCCCUGACACUUCACUCCUGACCGUUUGCAGGUCCGUGCAUGAAGUAGAAACAAGAGCCA